rnacentral:lncRNA from 1 species
ACCUCGAGUUUACGUACGGAUGGAUGCAUGAUAUACCAGAGUCUGUGCAGUUAUAUAGCUUAUGCAUUAUCACAAUAACGUGUAUAGGCUACUUUUUAUCCAUUUGCAAGGGGAUUUCUCGGGACGAGGGUGAAUCCGCACCUAAUACAUAGUAGAUCAGAACUUGAAGACUCCGAGUUACAACUUGCAGCGGAUAUUUGUAACAACGGUAUCGUCGCUAACCAAAAUUUCGAUCUUCAUAAGAAAUUAUUGAUUACUUUUGAGGGCUUCAUAGAAAAGCUCGAUGAGCUUUUUCAGAGUUUAAGAGCUGAAGAACGUUCUAGAUCUAAUGGAUAUAUCCCUGAGUUUACGAGCUAUCAAGACAUCUGUGAAAAGUUGCGCCUGGAGGUUUUAAUUGCGAUCGACAAACUUAAACUAUCUUCCUCUAAAGGAGCCAGCUAUAACGAAAGUAAUAUCGAAUUCUUACGCAAGAUGAAUAAUUUGAAAUACCAGCUUUCAGAUAUUAGAAGCCAAUAUCAUAACGCAAUCAAAGACUUCGACUUUAGGUUAGAGGAUGAGCCAGAUGAACAUAAUGAAGAUGAAAAUUAGUUUUAAAAGUAUGAAUGGAAAAUAAAAAUUUUCAGAAAUAUUUUUAGGUCAUUCUUUAUUUUUAAAAGAUACAAUAUAAUCAUAGCAAAUAACAUUCCACAGUUAUUGCAAACCUAACCAACAUAAUUUCGUAUACUGAACCAAUGUUUGAUUUUGAUAAAAUGCAGCUUACACCCAAUGAUCUAGCGUCGUGAACUAAGUACUUAUAUGUAAGAACAUACUAUAAUUAUUCUGUUGGAAUGAUAUUGUUCAUAAAGUACUAAAUCAUGGUUGACAUAAGAAACAUGAAAUUAAAUCCAACACAAUAUAAGAUGGUCCAAUAAAAUCU